UUUUUUUUAGGCAUAAUGAAUGCUAUUGCACAUGUAAUAGAUUACAGUAUAGUGUAAACAUAACUUUUACAUGCACUGGGAAACAAAAAAAUGUGAGCCAGUGCACCUGGCUGAGAGGGGAUUUAUUAGAGGAAUUGGCUCAUGUGAUUAUGGUAGGCAAAAAGUCCCACAAUGAGCCAUAUGCAAGCUGGAGACCCUGGGAUGCUGGUAGCAUGGCUCAAUCCAAGUCUGAAGGCCUCAGAACCAGGGAGGCCAAGGGUGUAACUCUCAGGCCGAGCCCAGAGGCCUGAGAACUCAGGGAGGGGAGCCACUGAUGUAAGUCCUGGAAUCCAAAGGCCGAGAAGUCUGGAGUUAUUGUCCAAGGACGGGAGAGGAAGAGUGUAUCCCAGCUCCAGCAGGUAGAUCAGCACAUUCAUUUUUAUUUGGGAUUACAGGCACCUGCCAUCAUGCCUGGAUAAUUUUUGUACUUUUGUAGAGACAGGGUCUCGCUCUGUUACUUAGGCCGGAGUGCAGUGGUACAAUCUUGGCUCACUGCAACCCCAACCUCCUGGGCUCAAGUGAUCCUCCCAUUUCAGCUUCCUGAGUAGCUAGGACUACAGAUGCACACCACCACGCCUGGCUAAUUUUUGUAGAGACAGCCUCUUGCUAUGUUUCUUAGACUUGUCUCGAAUUCCUGGGCUCAAAUGAUCCACCAGCCUCAGCCUCCCAAAGUGCUGGGAUUGCAGGCAUGAGCCACUGCGCCUGGUCUAAAAACACCCUUUUCAUUCAGCACUAUAGGUUUUAAAAGGCAGUGUUCCCAUAAGAAAUAAUGGCAAAGAAAGGAACUCCCAGUCACAUUCAGCAAACCUGUUUUCCCAGCUACAUUCAUGCACUGGUUGAUGCAGGUAAGUGUACAGGGGAGGUUGAUGGAGAGAUAGGAGGGUCCUGGAAACAAAGGAAGACUGUGACAUUAGAUGACUGCAAUCGUGGAGACUCAGAUGGAUACAUCAGACAGAUGGUAUACAUCUCUUCGUGACUCAAUCUGCUGAACGAUGCAACUGUCACAGUAUCCAACAGGCAGGGUCUUACUCUGUCACCUGGCCUGGAGUACAGUGGCACAAUCACGCUUCACUGCAGCCUCAACCUCCCUGGCUCAAGCGAUCUUCCUACCUCAGGCUUCCAAGUAGUUGGGACAGAUGAUCUUACUCUGUUGCCCAGGCUGAAGUGCAGUGGCACGAUCUUGGCUCACUAUAACCUUUGCCUCCCGGAUUCAAGCAAUUCUCCUGCCUCAGCCUCCCAAGUAGCUGGGACUACAGGCCGACUAAUAUUCCGCUGCAUCUUGCUGGGCACAGUGGCUCAUGCCUGAAAUCCAAGCACUUCGGGAGCUUGAGGUGGGUGAAUCACUUGAGGUCAGGAGUU
rnacentral:lncRNA from 1 species